CAGUGCGACUUUCUGUUGUCCCAACUUUCUGUUGGAGAGUAACAAUAUUUCUACAGCUGAAAAUGGAUGUAAAGCAAAAGCUGUUGUUGUGUUAGACUAAGUUGUUUCUCUGUGGAGAAGCAGCUAAUGGAAACAGAGAAGGGCAAAAAACCAUCAGGACAGGACCAGACACCUGCUAAGAGUUAUGCACGUGCUCAGAUGCCCUUCUGAAUCAGUCUUUGCCUGGAGAGCUGUUAGG